rnacentral:lncRNA from 1 species
CUACAAUAUGUGUCUGCCUUCUCUCACUCACUGUAAUGUGUUUUGAGAUUCAUCCUGCUGUUGUGUGUUAAUGCCGAUUCGAUCAACUGGAAGAAAGUGUAUCAGUGAUGGAAGAUCAAAUGGAUGAAAUGAAGCGAGAAGGGAAGUUUAGCGAAAAAAGAUAAAAAGAAAUGAACAAAGCCUCCAGGAAAUAUAGGACUAUGUGAAAAGACCAAAUCUACUUCUGAUUGGUGUACCUGAAAGUGACGAGGAGAAUGGAACCAAGUUGGAAAACACUCUGCAGGAUAUUAUACAGGAGAACUUCCCCAAUCUAGCAAGGCAGGCCAACAUUAAAAUUCAGGAAAUACAGAGAACGCCACAAAGAUACUCCUUGAGAAGAACAACUCCAAGAC